CAAACCCGUUGCUGACUCCACAGAGUGGAAGGAACUGCCUGCACCUCCUUUGUUUCUGCGGUAACGUGCGGGGAGGAAAUUUAAGCCAUUGCUGCCAUCCGGGGUUGUGAGGACUGACCUGAAGGACCUUCCCUCCAUGAUGGUCACGGUGGAAUCCAUCCUGAUAACACAGAUGCUCCUCUCCAUGCUGACUUGGGCAACGAAAGCCACUGCCUCGCCACGGGAGUGAGAGGAACUGACCUGAACAUCGCCUUCCUGCUUGCUGUAGGGAAAGCCUCUGCUGCUGGCCCUGCUGGAGAAAGUCUACCGUCUACGUCAUUGUGCACCAGUACCCAAGACGGCCAGGCAGCUGGGAACACAAGCCACCACAGGAAGUCUGCACCCACGCGGUCAUUCUCCAAAAUGGCGCAUCGAGUCGGUUGUUCCCUGAAUCCCCUGCAAAGCCUUCUCUCUGUGAUGGCCACGGUGGAAUCUAACAUAAUGGCACAGCCGCUGGCGAGUGUUGGAGUCUGACUACUCUCUGGCCCUGAGCUCGAGACUUCAGAUGAAGCCAGACAACCGAAUAUCUCUCCUGCUCCUCCCCGCGGUGCUUGCCUUGCCUUGCCUUGCCGAGUGUACAAGGUUGUGCACAACUAUAGCGACGGAAUGGAUCACAUUAUACACUUGGGUGCCGAUGAACACUGCUAUUACCCGACAUACUGGCCCGUCUCGUUGCUCGCCCCUGACCACUGCAACCAACACUGCCUUCGAUAGAGCCUUUGCUGCCACCAGGGGUGGGUGGGUGGAGCCUGGCCUGGACCUCCCCUUCAUGCUGUUCCUGCUGGAGAAAGUCUACCUCCCCUUAAUGAUCCUGCUGGAGAAAGUCUACCUUCCCUUCCUGGUGAAUUCAGUUUGAACUUCAACCCCUGCGUAUUCUAGGGCCCGGCGGUGACCGUCUUUAGAUUCAGUGACAUGCCCGAGUUCAGUUUGAACUUCAUCCCCUGCGUUUUCUAAGGCCCGGCGGUGACAGUCUUUAGAUUCAGUGACAUGUCUGAGUUCAGUUUGAACUUUAUCCCCUGCGUUUUCUAAGGCCCGGCGGUGACAGUCUUUAGAUUCAGUGACAUGUCUGAGUUCAGUUUGAACUUUAUCCCCUGCGUUUUCUAAGGCCCGGCGGUGACAGUCUUUAGAUUCAGUGACAUGUCUGAGUUCAGUUUGAACUUUAUCCCCUUCGUCUUCAAAGGCCCGGCGGUGACCAUCUUUAGAUUAAGAGACCUGCCUGAAUCUGUUUGAAAAUCAUCCCCUACGUUGGAUAAUAGCGGUGCUCUUCCGAAAACCCUUUGACCUGAAUAAGUAUGUCAUGAGCUAGCCAGUAGAAAUUCAGUGAAAACCCUUUGACCUCAAUAAGCAUGUCAUGAGCUAGCCAGUAGAAAUUCACUGAAAACCCUUCGACCUCAAUAAGUAUGUCAUGAGCUAGCCAGUAGAAAUUCAGUGAAAACCCUUCGACCUCAAUAAGCAUGUCAUGAGCUAGCCAGUAGAAAUUCACUGAAAACCCUUCGACCUCAAUAAGUAUGUCAUGAGCUAGCCAGUAGAAAUUCACUGAAAACCCUUCCACCUCAAUAAGCAUGUCAUGAGCUAGCCAGUAGAAAUUCACUGAAAACCCUUUGACGCGGCGGGCCAAUAGGUGGGAUAAUAGCAGUUCUCGUCCGCAAACCCUUUGACCUCAUUAAGUAUGUCUUAUAAGAGCCAGUAGAAAUCCAGGUAAGUCGAGGUGUCGCCGAUAUCCCCCAUACCUUGCCUGUCCAAGUACACUUGCGUGACGGUGGGUCCAAGAGUAUGAGGGAGGCCACACUCAUCGUGUACCUGUAUCUCUCCCACCGCCGAGAUCUGAAGACCCUGGUGACGAGGACAACCUUCAUCUCAACUAAGCGAGACAGCCAGUCAGGCGCAAGAUCUUGGUGUAUGCUGUGUGUCCAGGGUUAGCUGGAACUCGGAAGGACUCCGACCAGCCUACACCAUUUUGAAUCCGGAUAACGUGGGCGAUCACGUCAUCCGUAAGUGUGAUGAAGAGUAUAAGAAACUUCUUCCAAGUUGGUGUUCUCGCCAUUGAUGUUGGGAACGAACGACACAACACGCGAGAAAUCGAGUGGUAUCAAGACCGUGUCGGGGUUUAUGACUGCCUUUUUUAGUGUGCGUGUGUGUGCGUGUGUGUGUGUACGCAAGAUUUAUCCCCUAGUAUCAAAAGGGGAACGGGCCCUUGUCCGAAGACGGCCCGGGGAAACUAGCUCUGUACUUCUUCAAUGUGGGAUUUUCAGGCUUUUGGAGUUUCAACUUUGGCUGUUGUAAUUAUUUCAACUUGGGCUGUAGUAAUUAUUUUAACUUAGCCUGCAGUAUUAAAUUUUUAACUUCAGCUUUUGGAAUUAUUUAUAGUAGUACAUAAAUGCAAUCUAAAUACCGAAGUUAUUGUCCAUAAAUUAUCUAAAAAUGAUGCAAAAAAAAUACAUUCAACUAUU